rnacentral:lncRNA from 1 species
AGGCCAAUCGCUCCCAGCUAUUUGAGCCAAUGGAGAAGUUCCUGAUGCCCACACCUGCUGGUCUCACCGCUAGGGCCUGGGCAUCACAGGCAGGGGGAAUGGGGAGGGGACGGUAGCGUCAGCCUACACCCACACGCAGUUUCCUGAUAAAAGGUCCUUUGGAAACUUUGAUUCUCUUCUCACCAAGUUGAACGGAGAUGUGUUCCCAUAGUAAGAGUGAGGCCCCUGCAUUUGCUGCCCUCGGUUUUCCCAACUAACACCAGGGCCUCCCCCCUGUACCCCAUUCAUAUGCCUCAGAAGCUGACAAUGACUGUUGGGCUUUUCCAAUGAAUACCAGAACACCAUUUCCUGCAGCCUGAAAAGAAGACAGUAUAAUUGUUUGGCAGCAAGAGAAUCCAGGUGCCCUUCCAUGAGAAGCCCAAGCCAUGUGGAGAAGCCACGUCUAGGGACUCCAGUUAACACUCUCAGCUGAGUCCCCAGCUGACAGUCAGCAUCAACUGCCAGCCACCUCUGUCUAAAAGUGGGCUAUCUUGGGCAUCCAGCCCAGUCAAGCCUUCAGAUGAGUCCAGUCCCAGCCACUAUCUCACACAACCACACGAGAGACAUCAAGAACUCCCAGUGGAGUCCAGUCAGCCCAUGGAACUGCAAGAGAGUCCACAGAAUUCUACCCAAGUCUCAGAGACAGGAUCUCGCUGCGUUGCUCAGACUGGUCUCGAACUCCUGGGCUUAAGGGAUUCUCCUGCCUCAAUCACAGCCUCCCAAGUAGCUGAGAUUAAAAGUGCUCACCACCGUGCCAGCGAGUUCAGUUUUUGAGAUCUGUCCCAUUCCACCAAGGAUUUAAGGCUAAAGAUUUAAGUUGUGAAGAUGAUAAUGGAUUGACUCUAUGAAUGGCCACAUUUUUUUAUGCCUCCCUUUUCCCUUGUCCUCGGGCAGUGUCCUCCGACACUGACUCUGUGCUUGGCCCUGUGACUUGCUUUGGCCAAUGGUACAGCAGCAAACUUGAUGCAAACACAACUUGAAAAAGAAGAGGACAGCCAAGUCAUCCCAGCCAAGGCCACCCUGGACCAGCCAGCCUCUUGCCAAGCUGCCAGUGACCACAGAGUCCAAUUAACAACAGCCAGUCCUGGCCCAGUGUCACUGUUGAGCAGCCUGAUGCCAUCACUCCAGAGGUUUCCUGUGCGGAGCUGGGACUAGGACGAAGUGAGUGAAGCACCCAUCUGAGAUGCAAACAUGCAAGGGAGUGCCAAAAAAUUCACCCAUUGAAAUGUCAAUUUCAAAUAAAGACGAGAUCCAAACCUA